rfam:Intoshia linei isolate Intl2013 Contig_845, whole genome shotgun sequence.
UACCUGGUUGAUCCUGCCAGUAGUCAUAUGCUUGUCUCAAAGAUUAAGCCAUGCAUGUCUAAGUUCAAACUUAAUUGACAGUGAAACCGCGAAUAGCUCAUUAAAUCAGCUAUAAUUUAUUGGAUUUUGCAAUACUAGUUGGAUAACUGUGGCAAAUCUAGAGCUAACACAUGCAAUCGAGCUUCCACGAUAUACUGUGGGAGGGCAGUUGUUAGAUCAAUAUCCAGCGGUGGCGGCUUGCCGUCAUCUCGCAUUGAUGACUCUGGACAACUUUGCCGAUCGUAUGGCCUUGUGCCGACGACAGAUCCUUCAAGUGUCUGCCCUAUCAACUGUCGAUGGUAGGGUAUUGGCCUACCAUGGUUGUAACGGGUAACGGAGAAUCAGGGUUCGAUUCCGGAGAGGGAGCCUGAGAAAUUGCUCCUACUUCCAAGGAGGGCAGCAGGCGCGCAAACUACCCACUCCUAGAUCGGGGAGGUGGUGACGAUAAAUGUCGAAUAAGUCGGCUUAUAGCUUGCUAUUUCGAGAUGGAGAAUGUAUUAAAAAAUGUAACGAAAGCAAUUGGAGGGCAAGUCUGGUGCCAGCAGCCGCGGUAAUUCCAGUUCCAAUAGCGUAUAUUAAAGUUGUUGCAGUUAAAACGCUCGUAGUUGAAUUUCGGGUCGCUACAGGACGGUGCAUAUUAUGCGACUGUCCGUAUGGGCCCUGAUGAUGGCUGACCUGCAACAUUCUUCGUUGAAUGUGGCUGGCGGCUACAAAUUUUACUUUGAAAAAAUGAGAGUGCUCAAAGCAGGCCGUAGUGCCAGAAUAUUGAUGCAUGGAAUAAUGGAAUAGGACCUCGGUUCUGUCUGUUGGUGAUGAAUAACGAGGUAAUGAUUAAGAGGGACAGCCGGGGGCAUUCGUAUUGCAGCGCUAGAGGUGGAAUUCUUGGACCGCUGUACGACGAACAACUGCGAAAGCAUUUGCCAAGAAUGUUUUCAUUAAUCAAGAACGAAAGUCAGAGGCGCGAAGACGCUUAGAUACCGUCGUAGUUCUGACCGUAAACGAUGUCGACUAGCGAUCCGUCCAAUUCCAAUUAUUUGAGGUCUGGAUGGGCAGCUUACGGGAAACCAAAGUUUUUGGAUUCCGGGGGAAGUAUGGUUGCAAAGCUGAAACUUAAAGGAAUUGACGGAAGGGCACCACCAGGAGUGGAGCCUGCGGCUUAAUUUGACUCAAC